rnacentral:rRNA from 1 species
CCCAUCAUGUGUGCUCUUACUCAAAUCCAUCCUAAGAAAGACCGGUCGAACGGUGCACCCCUUUCGGGGUUCCCAUCAGUCACUUUCAUUUUGCAUUAAUAAAGGGUUUUUCACCCUAAUACAUGCAAGUCGAACGAGAGGAAGGAAAGCUUGCUUUUCUGAAUCUAGUGGCGAACGGGUGAGUAACACGUAGGUAACCUGCCCAUGUGCCCGGGAUAACUUCUGGAAACGGAUGCUAAAACCGGAUAGGUAGCAGACAAGCAUUUGACUGCUAUUAAAGUGGCUAAGGCCAUGAACAUGGAUGGACCUGCGGUGCAUUAGCUAGUUGGUGAGGUAACGGCCCACCAAGGCGACGAUGCAUAGCCGGCCUGAGAGGGCGGACGGCCACAUUGGGGACUGAGACACGGCCCAAACUCCUACGGGGAGGCAGCAGUAGGGAAUUUUCGUCAAUGGGGGGG